GAUGAACGCUGGCGGCGUGCCUAAUACAUGCAAGUCGAGCGAACGGACGAGACGCUUGCUUCUCUGAUGUUAGCGGCGGACGGGUGAGUAACACGUGGCUAACCUACCUAUAAGACUGGGAUAACUUCGGGAAACCGGAGCUAAUACCGGAUAAUAUUUUGAACCGCAGGGUUCAAAAGUGAAAGACGGUCUUGCUGUCACUUAUAGAUGGAUCCGCGCUGCAUUAGCUAGUUGGUAAGGUAACGGCUUACCAAGGCAACGAUGCAUAGCCGACCUGAGAGGGUGAUCCGCCACACUGGAACUGAGACACGGUCCAGACUCCUACGGGAGGCAGCAGUAGGGAAUCUUCCGCAAUGGGCGAAAGCCUGAUGGAGCAACGCCGCGUGAGUGAUGAAGGUCUUCGGAUCGUAAAACUCUGUUAUUAGGGAAGAACAUAUGUGUAAGUAACUGUGCACAUCUUGACGGUACCUAAUCAGAAAGCCACGGCUAACUACGUG
rnacentral:rRNA from 1 species